rnacentral:rRNA from 1 species
UACGUAGGAUCCGAGCGUUAUCCGGAGUGACUGGGCGUAAAGAGUUGCGUAGGCGGUAAGUCAAGUGAAUAGUGAAACCUGGUGGCUCAACCAUACAGACUAUUAUUCAAACUGGCUUACUCGAGAGUGGUAGAGGUAACUGGAAUUUCUUGUGUAGGAGUGAAAUCCGUAGAUAUAAGAAGGAACACCAAUGGCGUAGGCAGGUUACUGGACCAUUUCGGACGCUAAGGCACGAAAGCGUGGGGAGCGAACCGGAUUAGAUACCCCGGUAGUCCCUGAG